UACAGAGGUCUCAAGCGUUGUUCGGAUUCAUUGGGCGUAAAGAGCUCGUAGGCGGCUUGCUAAGUCAGGUGUGAAACCUCCAGGCUCAACCUGGAGCCGCCACCUGAUACUGGUAUGGCUGGAGUCCGGUAGGGGACCACGGAAUUCCUGGUGUAGCGGUGAAAUGCGCAGAUAUCAGGAGGAACACCGGUGGCGAAGGCGGUGGUCUGGGCCGGCACUGACGCUGAGGAGCGAAAGCGUGGGGAGCGAACAGG
rnacentral:rRNA from 1 species